rnacentral:lncRNA from 1 species
CCUGAGGGAGUGGCAGGCUAGGCUCCAAAGCUACACAGAAAAAUCUUGUCUCGAAAAGCAAAAAAAAAAAAAAAAAAACGUUAAAAAAAAAAAAGUAGGCAGGCAAGCCUCCGUGUUAAUAUGGUUGUAACAGACUAGGUGGGUUUCUUGUUUUUAUCGUUCUCAUUCUGCAAGGGGUCUUACACAAGCUGGCUACAAGUCAGGGGGUCAAACACAAACAGUGCAACGUGUACACUUGGAAAUUGUAGAUUGUGAAAGAGUACAAAGGAGGCCUGCAAUAAAAUUAAUUUUUAAAAACUGGAUUCAGAAUGAAGUUGAAAACCAUCUCAUGGGUAGGCAAGCUGUAAAUCUCAGCUGCUACCAGGAGGAGAGGGAUAGAAGAAUCCAGGGAAGGGUCCAAGAAUGCAGGCAGACUGGGUAGUGGAGGUCUGAAAGCAGCUUGUGGGUACUGGUAGGGGCAUGGGGAGAUGGAGGUGGGUGGGAUGGUGAUGCCCACGGUGUCAGCAUUUCAGCUGGUUACUAAGGAUCCUCCCAUUCCUCUGGUAUUUUAAACUUUAAGGAGGGUGCUUCCUUUUUUUGAAAUUGGUGUGUUAUGAAGAAAACAAGAGGUGGGAGGCCGAGCUGAUCUGAAGGGAGAGUCCCUCCUCAGUGGCCUCCGAGUAGGCUAAAGCUGUCUGUCUACCCAACAGAAUAGGACCUGGCUGUUUGUUUUGUUUUUGAGACAGCGCCUCAUAUAGUCUAGGCUAGCUUUGAACUUUUGAUCCCCUAGGCUCCUCCUCUCCAGUGCUGGAAUGACAGGAAUGAGACACUAGGCCAGGCUAGAAAAGGUCCCAAAAAUCUGGAUUCGGUCUCCAGCACAAAACCGGAAACUGAAGCCAGAGAAGCAUCGAGAAGCUUCUGUUGCAGGUCCUACAAAGCAUUCCCAUCUUUUAGGCCCUAAGACUUACGGGUUCCGGCCUGUGGCUCUGCCCACUCCACUACUGGGAGAGACCAGUGCCGAGACUCGACUCCAGCCGCAGGGGGCGCUGUUCCGCUUCCCUGCAGCAGGAAGCGGAGCCUCGUAUCCCUUCUGCGAGUGAGCCACGGGGAAACGUCAUAUCCGGUCCUGCGCGCACUGCACCGGAGCCGGAACUGGUGGGUAAAUGGUGGCGGUUUCUUCAAGACCCCUUCUUGGAUAGAGAACUGGCUCUUCCCUACCUCCUGCGACGCUCUUUACAGGGGAUCACCGGGAAGUUCUACCGCUUGGUGACUUCGGACCGCAGCAUAAGCCUCAAACGCUACUUCAAUGUCCACUCUCACAUGCUCCGGAAGACCCUGUCUUCCCGGCUAUCCAAGGAACUGCGGCAGAAGUACAACGUCCCUUCCGUGCCCAUCUGCAAGGACGACGAGGUCCAGAUAUGA